UACGGAGGGUGCAAGCGUUGUUCGGAAUCACUGGGCGUAAAGGGCGUGUAGGCGGUCCGCUAAGUCUGAUGUGAAAGCCCGGGGCUCACCCCCGGAAGGGCAUUGGAAACUGGCGGACUCGAGUCCCGGAGAGGAAGGUGGAAUUCCUGGUGUAGCGGUGAAAUGCGUAGAUAUCAGGAGGAAUACCGGUGGCGAAGGCGGCCUUCUGGACGGUGACUGACGCUGAGACGCGAAAGCCAGGGGAGCAAACGGG
rnacentral:rRNA from 1 species